UGGGAGGAGGAGUAGGCACCUCAUCCAGCCGUGGCUUGCACCCAGCCCCACUUCACACCCCAGCCCAACUGACCCAGCUCUUAGAGCCAAUCCUUAUCCAGAAGUUAUGGAUUGAGCUUGCCAACUUCCCUUACCUACAUUGUUCUAACAUGCCAGAGGCUGUUCACCUUGGAGACCCACUGCAGAUAUGCGGAGGGCAGAUAGGAAG